UUUAAUGACCUCUUCAAUUUAAAUCUUUCAGCUCAAACUUUGAGAAGAUUUUUCUUACACUAUAUACUAAAUUUUGAUAUAUUAAAAUUGUAUCGUUUGUUUAUUUAUUUCCCCAUUUUUAAUUUUAAAUUAAGUGUGCAUUAUAGGUUAUUGUCGUGAAUUGAGUAAUUUGUGCGCAUGCGCAGUUUUAUCGCUUUCGUGCGGUCCCAUCAAAAGGGGGAGAAACACCGAAGUUGUUUUACGCUGUUGUAUCGAUUUUCGAUCUUCGAUCCUUAACCUCUUAGGCACGGUUGAAGUUUACGCAGCGCUGCUUAUGUACUGCAGAGUUCGGCGCGAAUUAUGGGUAAACAGUACUACAAUAUAUGACAAUGCUAUUCUUCACGCGAGUACAUUAAAAUAAAAUUCACAAAAUAUGUAAUUUCCAGAUGUUUCCAAUAUCGUGUAUUAGUGCAAAGAGAUGUUCCCAUAGUGCCGGAACUACUUGGUACCUUUUAUUUGCAUGUAAUAUACUUUUGUGGGACUUGUUAAUACUCGUAUAAAACGUGGUGAAGGCAAAAAAGCGAAUCAAAAUUUAUGAAGACAGUCAUUCAAUUGAAACGGUGAUCGAGUGAGUCAGUAGAGUGAGCCUCUGUAGUGUCGCUGUGUAAUCUACGAUGAGAUUUGCCAAAGCUACUAUAAUGGAUCAUCGUACAGAAAGAUUGUAUUCAUGCAUAUUACUAUAGUGGUGCAUCGUACCUAAGAGGUUAACGACUGUCAAGCCACUCGACAGAUCCUUCGGAUCCAUUGUGUAAAUUAUAGAUCGGCAGUUUGCUGCAGUUUGCAUUCGUCAAUGUUGAGGUUCUCGUUGUUGUCUCCCACACUGCCCCAACUUCUUAUCACCAAUCUGGAUCUCAGCUGGACACCAGGACCACAACUUGAGCUGCAUGGGGACCAAUCGGACCACUGUGUGUAACGAUCCUCAGGACACUUCUAAUUGCGGGAUCAAUCGACAAAAAAAUUAAAUCUUUAUACAAACACAAGUUCUUUUGUAAUAAUCAUUUAUAAUCAUAAACUUGUAAUUAUUAUAAUUCUACAUUGAAUGCAUUGUUUAUUUAAUAUUUUACUUAAUUCAUAUGUAACAAUUUAAAUAUAACCUUUUGUACUUGUAAUUUCUUUGCCUUCAUUAGUGCAUUUACUGUACAAUUUUAAAUAAAAAUUUAGUUUAAAAUAAUA